GGAUAACUUACCCUUAGGACUGGGAUAACUCUGGGAAACUGGGGAUAAUACUGGAUAUUAGGCUAUGCCUGGAAUGGUUUGCCUUUGAAAUGUUUUUUCGCCUAAGGAUAGGUCUGCGGCUGAUUAGGUCGUUGGUGGGGUAAUGGCCCACCAAGCCGAUGAUCGGUACGGGUUGUGAGAGCAAGGGCCCGGAGAUGGAACCUGAGACAAGGUUCCAGACCCUACGGGGUGCAGCAGGCGCGAAACCUCCGCAAUGUACGAAAGUGCGACGGGGGGAUCCCAAGUGUUAUGCUUUUUUGUAUGACUUUUCAUUAGUGUAAAAAGCUUUUAGAAUAAGAGCUGGGCAAGACCGGUGCCAGCCGCCGCGGUAACACCGGCAGCUCGAGUGGUAGCUGUUUUUAUUGGGCCUAAAGCGUUCGUAGCCGGUUUGAUAAGUCUUUGGUGAAAGCUUGUAGCUUAACUAUAAGAAUUGCUGGAGAUACUAUUAGACUUGAAGUCGGGAGAGGUUAGAGGUACUACCGGGGUAGGGGUGAAAUCCUAUAAUCCUGGGAGGACCACCUGUGGCGAAGGCGUCUAACUGGAACGAUCUUGACGGUGAGUAACGAAAGCCAGGGGCGCGAACCGGAUUAGAUACCCGGGUAGUCCUGGCCGUAAACGAUGUGGACUUGGUGUUGGAAUGGCUUUGAGUUGUUCCGGUGCCGAAGGGAAGCUGUUAAGUCCACCGCCUGGGAAG
rnacentral:rRNA from 1 species